GGUAAGCAUGUAGAAGACGGUGCCCCGGCAACGGGGUGAAAAGGGAAUGCGGUGAGACACCGCGGCUGCCCCCGCAACUGUAAACGGCGAGCCUGCGCUCCAUAGGCCACUGGGCCUCACAUCCCGGGAAGGCGGUUGGCGCAAAGCAUCGACCCGUGAGCCAGGAGACCUGCCGUCAUCGUGCAACCCAA
rnacentral:ncRNA from 1 species